CACUGAUGGUGAUGAUGUGUUUUUAGAGGAUUUGAACCCACUUUGACAACUAGAUUAAACAGCUAUUAAGAUAUUGGAUAAAAUCAUUCAACAUUGAGAAGCGAAAUCUUUUAGUACUUGACUGAUACAAUCAUAUAUAUCUUACACAUGAAUGAGUCAAAUAAAUUAAAUUAGAGUAUCUAGGUAGGCAAACCAACCAUAUAUCAUCUAUGAUGAACAAUAAAGCAAAAGCAAUUUGUAAUCUAGUAGGUAUAUAGACAUUCAUGGAAGCAACAAGCUACAUAGACAAUCUCUAUAGUUUUUCUCUUCAAGCUUCAUUACCAGGUCGCAUCGCACCGGCUUGCCACCAAUAUUGACGACUAGCUAGUGUGGCGCAAGCAAUGGCAACAUUUGUUAGCACCGGAUGCCAAUAGAUAGCAGGAUGCUUAUAAGCUAAUAAGUGUUGAGAAAAAGAUAAAAAGUAGUUACUUAGGUGAAUGGGCAAUCGUCUGAAACUAAUUAACACCGUUAAUCAACAAAACAUGAUCUGUAGCACGUGGAGGUUAGAUAGUGUCUCAAACAUCGCGCAUGCGAGGCCUUGUAGUCAGCCCAAUGACUCAGUGGUCAACCUAUGAUUGAUUGAAGUCUAAUCUCCACACUUCGAGCAACAUCUAU
rnacentral:lncRNA from 1 species